rnacentral:misc_RNA from 1 species
UUUUAACUAGUACAUUUCCAUGUCAUCUUCCUCAACCCAAUUGUCCAGUUGCAUCGCCUUAGGAAGCUGUGCCCAAUCAAUUUGCUUAACAAAGCAAACCCUUCUCUUCUCUAAGGAAUAGAAACUCAGCAAAAACCUCUGUUUCCGUCUUGUUUUCAUGGCUAUGCUUAUGAGAAACAUUGCUAACCAUGUUAAAUCGAGGAUGGGUCUUUUGAGUGUUACAAACCAUAGUGCUUCAUUUUCUUCUUCUACCCAUAUUGGUAAAUUUCUAGCUAUAACUCCACCCGUUCGAGAUUUCAAGAACCCAGAUGCAAAUUUUAGCAAAAUAGCGACCUGCCGUUUUGAGUCCACCAAAGCCGAUAGUGGACGGUUGGGUUCGCAGUAUAGCAGCAUUGACAGCAAUCAGAAUAAUUUCUCGUUUACACCACAAGAUAGCUUCAUUGGAUGAUGAACGUUACGCUACUAUAUUUUCAUGUAUAGUGUAUGCUCAUACAUCAUACAUGGGUCACACCCAGUCCACGGGGUGAGAUUUCAACCCAUGGCCAUGACCGAAAAGGAAAAAAAUGAUUUACAACUAAUGACUACCAGAACUUGUAAAUGCACCUAAAUAUAUCUUAAAUAUGCUUUUUAAGGAUAUGUGUAUUGGUUGCUCUGCAGGUAGGGACCAUAAUGUGGCAUUUUUGUGUCAUAUGAUGGAUAAAUUGCAUGUUCAAGCUUGUUUACAAGUUAUUCUACAGGGAUCACUGUGGAACAUACUGAGCAAGAUACUGUACAGGUUUUGGAUUUCCCUGGAGGAAAGGUUGCAUUCACUCCUGAAAUGAAGUUUUUAUCUGAAUCUCUUAAGGAGCGGAUUCCCUGCUAUCGUGUCCUUGAUGACAAUGGCCAGCUAAUUGAGGACAGUAACUUUGUAGGGCAGUGAAAUUGCUAGAAAAAUUUACAGCGAUAUGGUGACACUUCAAACUAUGGACACUAUCUUCUAUGAAGCACAGAGGCAAGGAAGAAUUUCAUUCUAUGUGACUGCAAUUGGAGAAGAGGCCAUCAAUAUUGCAUCAGCAGCAGCUCUCACAAUUGAUGAUCUUGUCGUCCCUCAGUAUAGAGAGCCAGGAGUUCUUUUAUGGCGUGGUUUCACCCUUCAAGAAUUUGCGGACCAAUGUUUUAGUAACAGAGGUGAUAGUUGCAAAGGCAGGCAGAUGCCUGCCCAUUAUGGGUCAAAAAAACACAAUUACUUUACUGUGGCAUCAACAAUUGCUUCACAGCUUCCCCAUGCAGUCGGUGCGGCAUAUUCUCUAAAGAUGGAUGGCAAAGAUGCUUGUGUAGUCACUUAUUUUGGUGAUGGUGGCUCAAGUGAGGUAUGUGCGUUGCUGUUAUUUCCCCUGGAAAAAGAAAAUCAUUCCAUUAUAUUGUUUUCUAUUAUCUUUGGAACCAUUUUGUUCAAUUGCCAGUAGGGCAUUCUUUAGUCCACCAAGAUAGACCUUUUCUUUUUUUAAAAAAAAUGUAAUUCUUUUGUAUUAUUGACUCCUUGCUUUUGAGGAACUGUUCAUUUCUUACCGUUAAGUGACAACAAGAUGAUUUUAGUUCCACUUGUAACUACAUGAACCAUUCCUUCUUAAUGAAUCUCGCAUUUGGUUGGUUAUUUUCUAAUCGAUCAACUAUUGUUAGGGAGAUUUUCAUGCUGCUUUAAAUUUUGCGGCGGUCAUGGAGGCACCAGUUAUAUUUAUCUGUCGAAACAAUGGAUGGGCUAUUAGCACCCCUAUUUUGGACCAGUUUCGAAGUAUACUUCCCUCUUUUGUAAUGUCAGAUUUUGAGAAUACCAUUAUGUGAAGUACAAUUUUCUAUCUGGCAUUCUAUUCAUUGGCAGGUGAUGGCGUUGUUGUUAGAGGGCAGGCUUAUGGAGUACGAAGUAUUCGUGUAGAUGGUAACGAUGCUCUUGCCAUGUAUAGUGCAGUUUAUGCUGCUCGGCAAAUGGCAAUCAGUGAACACAGACCAAUCUUAGUUGAGGUGACAUUUAAAAAAACAAAAAACAAAUAAAUCAAACAAAAGAAGAUUCCCGCUCCCCACAUUUUUUUUGCCUUUUCUUUGGGGUUAGUUUGAAACUUGGUAGCUUGGCAGGUUGACAUUUGCUUUUGGUGUUUUGAAUGAACAGGCUCUAACAUAUCGAGUAGGACAUCACACCACAUCAGAUGAUUCCACAAAGUAUCGUUCAGUUGAUGAGAUUGAACGGUGGAGAUUGGCACGAGAUCCUGUUGCUAGAUUUCAGAAAUGGAUAGAAAACAAUGGUUGGUGGAGCAGUGAGGCUGAGUCAGAGCUUAGAAGCAGUGUGAGGAAGCAGCUAUUAAACGCAAUACAAGUGGCAGAGAGGGUUGAAAAACCUCCGGUCGCCGAUAUUUUUUCAGACGUGUAUGAUAUUCCCCCAUCCAACCUCUUUGAGCAAGAGAAGUGGCUUAGAGAGGCCAUCAAGAGACACCCACAAGAUUACCCAUCAGUUUUUCCCCAGUAAACUUGUAGUAGGAUAAAUAAAUAUAUAAAUGGAAUAUGUUUCUUUUAUGAGAAUUUGAAUCAAUUGUUGUGAUGCAGUUUGAAUCAAUAUGAAUUUCGCCCUUCAUCGAGUUGCUAGAAAGUAAUGAAUGUGAGCGAGCGAUCAUGCAUCUGUAUAUGGUUAGGACACUUAAAAUUUAAAAUAAAAUAAAAUAAAUCAGAGAAGAUCUUCUUGAAUCCAAAGUCAUUUCUGUUUCCCUUCAGCAGAUAUACAGACAAGUAUUUCAGAAUGAUGGGUAUUUUUGGUUUGAAGUGAAAUUGAGGGGCAUUUUCCACUGGGAAGCAAUGUAACAAAGAGGUGUUUCCUCUGCUGAUUCAUUUUCUAGCACUAGGGAUUUUUUUUUUUACAUAUACAAAUUGAAUCUCCAAAAACAUCAGAAUUAUUCAACCGAGAGAGAAGGCAAUAAAACAGUAGUUUUGCACUUGCCAGAUUGGCAGAUUUGAUAAACCAAAAACACCUAAGCCCCGAAAUGUUUAAAACCCUGUGUUCUGUAAGAGACCAUGUUUUAUUAUAUUAUUACAAGAAAUUUGCUCCUAAAACAACCAAUUGACAAACCAUUGUGGAUGAUUGAAAGGACAUAAAGAACAGCUUGAGACAAAAGAAAUGGUGAAAUCAUUUAUCCAGAAGUAAUUACAAGGAUGAAGCCUUCUCCUCCAGGGAAUCUCUAACUGCCUUCAAAAGAGAUGGCAUCAACUUCUGAUUGGUAACAAUUAUGCCAGUGUCAAGAUCCAGAUAUCUUCCUUUAGAGAAAUCUAAAGGGUUUCCAGCCGCAUCUGUGACCACUCCCCCAGCCUCUGUCACAACUAUACAUCCAGCGGCAUGAUCCCAUAUUUUCUCACGGUAACCUUUAUGAGGGAAACGCAGAUAUAUUGCCCCAUCUCCUCUGGAUAGAGCACCAUACUUUGCCUGGCUAUCAAUUCUAACUGGGGGUGCUUUGACACCAAGUUUUUUCGUAAUUGAGCUCGACAAAUCGUGUAUAGAGUGUGCUGCUUCAUAUGAUUCAAAGAAUGAUGCUUCUUCAGGAUUUUCAAUUGCAGUGACUUGCACCUUAAUUGCUGAAGAACUAUUCAGCAGUUGCAUGUAAGUCCCAGCACCAAUAUUAGCAAAGAAAAGGCAACCAACUUCACCUUGCGAAGGAUGUUGAUUCACACCACCAAUAGAAGCUAAAGGAAGAUUUGGACAAGCCAAGGCGCCCAGCACUACUUUUCCUUCAUCUAGCAAUGCUAAUGCAAUUGCAUAUUGAUCUCCUCUCAGAAACCCUUUAGUACCAUCUAUGGGAUCCAGGACCCAAUGCCUGCCAUGGGAACCACCAUCAGAUUUGCCAGAGUCAAUGGCCCUGAGCACAUCUUCUGUGGAUAAAGUAGAGGUGGCAUACGAUUCAUCACUAGCCAGAGUAUCAUUGACAAGUUUUGUAAUGCGCUCUAGUGUUUCCUGGGCCUCAUCCUUACGAAGAUCUCCUGAAUCCUCCUCAGCCACCAAUGAAAAUGGUUCAGAAGGAAGCUCCCUCUGUAGCACAAAACUAACUAGUGCUUGUGAGCCAUAAUCAGCCACUGUGACUGGACUUCUAUCUGAUUUUGAUUGAACAUCUGAUUGCAAAAGAACUUUUUGUACCUUCUGGCAGAGGCGGGCAGAGAGAGAGGCAGCCUUCUUGGCGGCAGCAAGCUCCUUUUCAUAAGACAUUGAAGAAGAAACAGGUCUUAAAGCGACUUGCGAAGGCGAUGAAGAAGAGGUUUUGGGGUUAUGGAAAAACAGAGGAACGAGAUAAGGGCUCUUGGUGAAUGCGAUUUUGGGUUUAACUACGCUUAAGCUUAACCCAUUUAUAGAAAUCAUCUCUUUUGCUGUCUUCCAAAUUCGCGGUUGCUUUAUUUACGCUCCAAUUCGAUUGCCAAAGUCUAAGGAGAUAGUUAACCAAAAUCUAUACAUACAUUAACAUCAUGGGUUUGGGCUUUUGCUUUCUCAUUUCCAUUCUCUUUGCAUUUUUAUAUAAAUUAUUUUUAGGAGAAAGGUUUGAAUGAAAAAUGUCUCAUCUUUGAAUUGAAAUUUCUAUUUUUAAUAAUUGGUUUGAAUCAGAGCUCAAACUAGAUGCCCAUAGCUUUGCAG